rnacentral:rRNA from 1 species
CACGUAGGGUCCGAGCGUUGUCCGGAAUUACUGGGCGUAAAGCGUGCGCAGGCGGCUUUGCAAGACAGAUGUGAAAUCCCCGGGCUUAACCUGGGAACUGCAUUUGUGACUGCAAGGCUGGAGUGCGGCAGAGGGGGAUGGAAUUCCGCGUGUAGCAGUGAAAUGCGUAGAUAUGCGGAGGAACACCGAUGGCGAAGGCAAUCCCCUGGGCCUGCACUGACGCUCAUGCACGAAAGCGUGGGGAGCAAACAGG